UGAGGAAUAUUGGACAAUGGGCGCAAGCCUGAUCCAGCCAUGCCGCGUGAGUGAUGAAGGCCCUAGGGUUGUAAAACUCUUUCGUGGGGGACGAUAAUGACGGUACCCGGAGAAGAAGCUCCGGCUAACUUCGUGCCAGCAGCCGCGGUAAUACGAAGGGGGCUAGCGUUGUUCGGAUUUACUGGGCGUAAAGCGCGUGUAGGCGGGUCGUUAAGUUGGGGGUGAAAUCCCGAGGCUCAACCUCGGAACUGCCUUCAAAACUGGCGACCUGGACCUAAGUAGAGGCAAGUGGAAUUGCGAGUGUAGAGGUGAAAUUCGUAGAUAUUCGCAGGAACACCAGUGGCGAAGGCGACUUGCUGGACUUAUGGUGACGCUGAGACGCGAAAGCGUGGGGAGCAAACAGGAUUAGAUACCCCUGUAGUCCCUGAGCGGGCUGGCAAGGCGCAU
rnacentral:rRNA from 1 species